AGUCGAGGGGUAUAGUAGCAAUACUAGAGACCGGCGCACGGGUGCGUAACGCGUAUGCAAUCUACCUUUCACAGAGGGAUAGCCCAGAGAAAUUUGGAUUAAUACCUCAUAGUAUAAUGAGUUGGCAUCAACCCAUUAUUAAAGUCACAACGGUGAAAGAUGAGCAUGCGUCCCAUUAGCUAGUUGGUAAGGUAACGGCUUACCAAGGCGACGAUGGGUAGGGGUCCUGAGAGGGAGAUCCCCCACACUGGUACUGAGACACGGACCAGACUCCUACGGGAGGCAGCAGUGAGGAAUAUUGGUCAAUGGGCGCAAGCCUGAACCAGCCAUGCCGCGUGCAGGAUGACGGUCCUAUGGAUUGUAAACUGCUUUUGUACAGGAAGAAACAACUCUACGUGUAGAGUCUUGACGGUACUGUAAGAAUAAGGAUCGGCUAACUCCGUGCCAGCAGCCGCGGUAAUACGGAGGAUCCAAGCGUUAUCCGGAAUCAUUGGGUUUAAAGGGUCCGUAGGCGGUUUAGUAAGUCAGUGGUGAAAGCCCAUCGCUCAACGGUGGAACGGCCAUUGAUACUGCUAGACUUGAAUUAUUAGGAAGUAACUAGAAUAUGUAGUGUAGCGGUGAAAUGCUUAGAGAUUACAUGGAAUACCAAUUGCGAAGGCA
rnacentral:rRNA from 1 species